rnacentral:rRNA from 1 species
GUACACUCCUGCGGGAGGCAGCAGUGGGGAAUAUUGCACAAUGGGCGCAAGCCUGAUGCAGCCAUGCCGCGUGUAUGAAGAAGGCCUUCGGGUUGUAAAGUACUUUCAGCGGGGAGGAAGGCAAUACGGUUAAUAACCGUGUUGAUUGACGUUACCCGCAGAAGAAGCACCGGCUAACUCCGUGCCAGCAGCCGCGGUAAUACGGAGGGUGCAAGCGUUAAUCGGAAUUACUGGGCGUAAAGCGCACGCAGGCGGUCUGUCAAGUCGGAUGUGAAAUCCCCGGGCUCAACCUGGGAACUGCAUUCGAAACUGGCAGGCUUGAGUCUUGUAGAGGGGGGUAGAAUUCCAGGUGUAGCGGUGAAAUGCGUAGAGAUCUGGAGGAAUACCGGUGGCGAAGGCGGCCCCCUGGACAAAGACUGACGCUCAGGUGCGAAAGCGUGGGGAGCAAACAGGGUUAGAAACCCCAGUAGUCCCAU